AGAGUUUGAUCAUGGCUCAGAUUGAACGCUGGCGGCAUGCCUUACACAUGCAAGUCGAACGGUAACAGGUCUUCGGACGCUGACGAGUGGCGAACGGGUGAGUAAUACAUCGGAACGUGCCCGAUCGUGGGGGAUAACGAGGCGAAAGCUUUGCUAAUACCGCAUACGAUCUACGGAUGAAAGCGGGGGAUCUUCGGACCUCGCGCGGACGGAGCGGCCGAUGGCAGAUUAGGUAGUUGGUGGGAUAAAAGCUUACCAAGCCGACGAUCUGUAGCUGGUCUGAGAGGAUGAUCAGCCACACUGGGACUGAGACACGGCCCAGACUCCUACGGGAGGCAGCAGUGGGGAAUUUUGGACAAUGGGCGAAAGCCUGAUCCAGCCAUGCCGCGUGCAGGAUGAAGGCCUUCGGGUUGUAAACUGCUUUUGUACGGAACGAAAAGCCUCUUUCUAAUAAAGAGGGGUCAUGACGGUACCGUAAGAAUAAGCACCGGCUAACUACGUGCCAGCAGCCGCGGUAAUACGUAGGGUGCAAGCGUUAAUCGGAAUUACUGGGCGUAAAGCGUGCGCAGGCGGUUUUGUAAGACAGAGGUGAAAUCCCCGGGCUCAACCUGGGAACUGCCUUUGUGACUGCAAGGCUGGAGUGCGGCAGAGGGGGAUGGAAUUCCGCGUGUAGCAGUGAAAUGCGUAGAUAUGCGGAGGAACACCGAUGGCGAAGGCAAUCCCCUGGGCCUGCACUGACGCUCAUGCACGAAAGCGUGGGGAGCAAACAGGAUUAGAUACCCCGGUAGUCCAA
rnacentral:rRNA from 1 species